GGUGUGACGGUUUAUUUUCUGGUGGUGAAAUAGGCCGGCAAGCUGAAAGGGCAAUUCCAUUUUUCAUCAGGCCAGCAGACAGGUGCAGCAGCCAGCAGACGUUUCUAUCUGAAAUGACAGCCUUCAGUCUUUGGGGGGGAAGUUCCCUUCUCUGGAUGGAGGUUUUUAUUCACAGCGCUGGCAUGUCUCCUUGAUUGGAGCUCAAAUGUUUGUUUGUCAGAAAGCAAGGCCCUGCAGUAAGUAACACGCAUCUCCACCAGCGCUGGCUGCCACCCCCAUAAGGCAAAGAAACGCAGCUGCUGUCAGCCACCGAGGGCCUGCAGGCUGAUCGCUCACUUUCUGGAGUGCGCAAACGCUAUAAUGAGCGCCUUCCUCCAUGCACGGGAUUGCUCCUCCAACUUGAUUUGAAGAGCCUCACUUCGGUAUCGUAGGUGAGUGUGAUGCCUGCUGACGAAAAAAAAAACACCAGCACUUGGGCGCAACACACUUGGAAUCAUCAGAUGAAUACAUUUAAAUAUACACAUCAGACAUAUUGUGUUGGUGACACGAGGUCAUCAUUUGCUUUUGAAGUAAAUGUGUGCUAGGUGAAAGCUCUCCAUCACAUCCCAGGCUAAAGCUGGCUCCUCCCCCAACAUACAACGCCGGUCUCUGGGUGAAGAUGCCUCACUCCAACAUACUUAAGUUAAGUUAGGUCGUCCUCAGACCCGCUUCCGUAGUAGAAGCUGUACGUACAUUGCUAGUAAUGACAAUCAUUGGGUCUUUACCUUUUACCUUUACUUCCUUGACACCAAUGUCCGACUUUCCUAUCAGACAAGUACUUGGAACCAUUGUGUGGCGUCUUGGCACCUUUCAGAAAGAAAAAAACUCAAAAAUGUGAAUCACCCAUGAGGAAAAGCGGUAUCAAAAUUGGGCGGCUGGAAAUUCAGUUUACCAAGCAGAUGCUAGCAUAAAUACCAAGUAGCUUAAAGUGUACAAACUAGCAUGACAACGUUUGUUUCACUGUGUCCUGGUCAGGUCUAAAUUUUGUUCUGGGUUCCCUUGCCAAUCAGUUUCACAAGUUUUUUUUAAUCUCGCUCGUGUUGUCAAUGCUGUGGCUAGAGGUGGGGGGAGUAUAAAUGGUAAUAUAAAUAAACAGCAGUUGUUCAGCUUCCACUAAAUGAUGGAAUUCUCAGGGAGGCUGCAUGCAGCUGUGCUGGGUGAGACCUCUGAACUCCAGUCAUUACCAACGGCUGUCAUUCAGCAGAGGCCUGGUCUCAAGGGGGGGAGAUCUACGACAGCUGAAGGGUGAGUGAGACAUGCCUAGCACCCUAACGCCGACUCCAUAUACUCAGUGGUCACAACAAUCAUAACUCGACGCCUGACCUCUGACAUUGGACUCAGGGGGCAAUGAAUCGAAAUGAGCUUUGCUGCAGUGCGCUGGUGACAAAUGAUGCUAUUCUCUCUUUGGAAUUGGAAUUAUUCUGUCUGCCAAGGAGGUUUUGCUUAUUGUUAGCAGAACUAAGAAAAUCAAACGGUCGUGAAGACAUUGGUUUGUGAAUAGGUACCUGGUAUAGGGAAAGGAAGCGUACGUUCUUGUACGUUCAUCCGAGUGUUGGCGAAGCUAGCAAAUUCAUGUCAGGGUUCGUCAACACUUUGGAUGUUUUUUCUUGUCAGAUGACAGUUUUGAACGUGUUAACAUUUCAUUUAUGUACUAGGUGCAUGUUGAUGGGCUGAUCAAUAAUAAACCAACGUGUGCUGAAUUGUGUUUGUUUCAUGGAUGCCAAAAGAAGGAAAACACCACCGACGUGGACAGAUUGACUGCAUUUUGCGCUA